CCUUUUUCUUCGCUUUACUAGCCUUCAUCUUCUUUGUUACCAUCCUUUAUGGUGAAGAUUUCAGCUGUAUCUUUGGUCAACUUGAUUUUGAUCAACCUAGACACUUGCACCAAUCCAUUUCAGCCAGUAAGUUUUGCAUAUAUUUUGUAUUUCUAUGAAGUUUGUGUACAUCUAUCUACAUAUUACUAAAAUAGUUGAUUUUUCUUUAUUGAUAGAGAAGAAAAGCGAGAAGUUACCUUUUGCCAUUGGUGAGACGGAAAGAGGCUGCGAUAUUUUUAAUGGGAGGUGGGUAUGGGAUAAGGAGAGUCGGCCGCUUUACGAGGAAGACGAGUGUCCGUAUAUUCAGCCGCAGCUAACAUGUCAAGAACAUGGCAGACCGGACAAGGAUUAUCAGCACUGGAGAUGGCAGCCUAAUGGCUGUUCCCUUCCAAGGUUUCUUAGUUCAUUUAUUUUGGCUUUCUUAUUAAUAUUACAAUGUGGUAGAAUUCGACUCACUUUGAACGACCAAGAAAAUAAUUAUAAAAGAUCGUCACAUAGUUGAUUAUAAAUUUAUUUAAAAUAGAAGAAAUUUGUAAACGUAAAUUUAUUCUCAAAUGAAUUAUUGCUCUUAAUUAAUAAAUAUUAAAGUACAAAUUUCACUAUACAAUAUUACUUACAAAAGGAAAGAUGAAAUUGAUCAUGUGCU
rnacentral:lncRNA from 1 species